AGGCUCGUAGCUCAGCGGGAGAGCGCUACCUUGACACGGUAGAGGUCGGCGGUUCGACACCGCCCGAGCCUACCA
rnacentral:tRNA from 1 species